rnacentral:tRNA from 1 species
GUGUUGGUGGUUCAGGAGUAGAAUUUUCGCCUUCCGUGUGGAAGACCUGGGUUCGACUCUCAGCCAAUGCA